GACGAACGCUGGCGGCGUGCUUAACACAUGCAAGUCGAACGGUAAGGCCCUUCGGGGUACACGAGUGGCGAACGGGUGAGUAACACGUGGGUGAUCUGCCCUGCACUUCGGGAUAAGCCUGGGAAACUGGGUCUAAUACCGGAUAGGACCAUGGACUUCACGGUUUGUGGUGGAAAGCUUUUGCGGUGUGGGAUGGGCCCGCGGCCUAUCAGCUUGUUGGUGGGGUAAUGGCCUACCAAGGCGACGACGGGUAGCCGGCCUGAGAGGGUGUCCGGCCACACUGGGACUGAGAUACGGCCCAGACUCCUACGGGAGGCAGCAGUGGGAAUAUUGCACAAUGGGCGCAAGCCUGAUGCAGCGACGCCGCGUGAGGGAUGACGGCC
rnacentral:rRNA from 1 species